GGGAAAUUGCAAAUAAGUUCUCAUCUGGAAAGGAAUUAUCAAUUGGCAAAUUAUUAAAGCUAUCCCCAAAUUCUUCCUGCUUGAGCUUGGAUAAGAGAUUAGCUACCACAUUUUCGGUUCCCUUUUUAUCUUUGAUUUCAAGGUCAAAUUUCUGCAAAAGUAAAAUCCACUGGAUCAGCCUUCAUUUUGCUUCUUUCUUAUUCAGGAGGUAUUGAAUUACAGCAUGGUCUAUGUAGAUAAUGACUUUUAAGCCAACCAUGUAAGACCUGAAUUUGUCAACUACAAACACAAUUGCUAAGAAUUCUUUUUCUGUGGUUGCAUAGUUGACUUGUGCAUCAUCAAGUGUUUUGUUGGCAUAAUAGAUGGCAUGAACUUUCUUAUCUUUUCUCUGUCCAAGCACUGCCCCUACUGCAUAAUCACUUGCAUCGCACAUUAUCUCAAAUGGCAGCUCCCAAUCUGGU
rnacentral:misc_RNA from 1 species